GCUGUCGACCCUAAUCGCUUUAAUUCGAUAUCUCUUUUUCUCCCCUUCAAUCUUCAAUCUUCUGCAUUAAUCGAUUCGACCGGUAUCAUCUUCGUGUUUGGUGUUGAUGUUUUGAGCCAAUUUUUCUUCUUCUUAUUCGUUGCGACAUUGACGGUAAUGGUAACGAUGUUUUUGAAAUUCAAACCCUAGAAAUCUUGAUUUGAAUUGGUGCCAAAAAAAAAAGUUGAUCGCAUAGUCACAAGAAAGAGAGAGAUGAUGAUACAAAAUAAAAUAUAAAGCUUUCCGUUCCCGUUCCCGUUCUUGAAAUUCAACCAAGAACGCCCGAUCUCUAUGAAUCUAGAAUUCUGAUUUGAAUUGGUGCCAUAAAAAGAUGGCAACGAAGUUACAGACUUUGUUGUUUGGAUUCAAGUUUCUAUUGUCCAUGAUCUGCUUCAUUUGAAAGAGAGAUAUGAAUCUCUCUCUAUUUCAUUUUCAACCCAUUAUCCUUUGGUUUCUGAUCUAUUGAUUCCGUUCUUCUUUUGAGCAAACAUUCUCUGUCUCCAAAACUGUGUUUGACACAAAUGUUUUGGGGGUAGGUUUUUGUUUGCAACAGCAUUUUAAUUGAUUAUCCAAGAAUGUAUAAUCUUGAUGAUUCUUGGUUAUUGUUGAUUGAGAAGGUUAAUAAAAAUUGAAAAGUCGCUAUGCUUGGAUGAUCUCAAAUUUAAGUAUGAGAUAAAUUCUUGACUUAUAUGUGGCCUUCAAUAUGAAUUUUUUAUUCAUAUGAAAUGAAUCUGAUAUAAUAUGUUUCGAUGACCAGGUUGUUUAAUUACAAGAUGAAUUCUUGACCCAAAAUGUGGUUUGUAGUAUGAAUUUUUUAUUCAUAUGAAAUUGCCAUAAUAUUUUUUGGAUGACCCGAUUUUUGACAGUAAAAAUGGCCUUCAAUAUGAAUUUUUUAUUCAUAUAAAAGAGAUUGAGAAUUUGAGAUAGUAUGACUGGGUCCCAUUGAACAGAAGAAGAAGUAUGUAGAUAUAGAUUGUAUCAUUGUUAGCCGCAAGAUCUUCGUUUGGACUGUUGGAAUAAUUGUUUUUGCUGCUUUUGUUGAUGGUUUUGUUACUCUUAUUGUUAAAACUGUUCCUCGUCAUCAUCAUAAACAUCCUCCUCCUGAUAAUUAUACACUUGCGCUUCAUAAGGCUCUUAUGUUCUUCAAUGCCCAAAAAUGAGUUAAAUCGGUGAGUGGAAAGAAGAAGUUCAUGAAAAAGCUAAAGUGAAUAAAAGGAAAAGUUGGAGAUAAGAAAAUGGAUUUUGUAGGAUGGGGUUCAAGAAGUCUCAUU